UGGUGUGAGAGCUUGAAGCUGCCAGCAUGAUCUGGCUACUCAAACGCCGCCGGCCUCCCAAGUGCUCGAUCGGUGGCGCUUCACCAGAUCAUGUUGCAGCUUCACUCUCUCGCAAC
rnacentral:pre_miRNA from 7 species